rnacentral:rRNA from 1 species
UACGUAGGGUGCAAGCGUUGUCCGGAAUUAUUGGGCGUAAAGAGCUCGUAGGCGGUUUGUUGCGUCGGCUGUGAAAUCCCGAGGCUCAACCUCGGGUCUGCAGUCGAUACGAGCAAACUAGAGUGUUGCAGGUGAGACUGGAAUUCCUGGUGUAGCGGUGAAAUGCGCAGAUAUCAGGAGGAACACCGGUGGCGAAGGCGGGUCUCUGGGCAACAACUGACGCUGAGGAGCGAAAGCGUGGGGAGCGAACAGG